rnacentral:rRNA from 1 species
UUACCUGGGUGAUCCCCAGAUGAUAUGCUUGUCUCAAAGAUUAACCAUGCGUCUAGUCAAGCCAGUUUAAGGUGAAACCGGAAAUGGCUCAUAAAUCAGUUAUGGUUCAUUUGGACAGUCAGAAUUACUGGAUAAACUGUGGUAAUUCUAAGAGCUAAUACAUUCCGAGUUCCGACCAGAAAUGGAAGGAACGCUUUUAUUAGAUCAACCGAAUCGGUCGGGUUCGACCCGGUGUUGAAUUUUGGUGACUCUGGAUAACUUUGGGCUGAUCGCACGGUCUCCGCCCGCGACAGACCUUUCAAAUGUCGCCUAUCAACUGACGAUGGUAGCUCGUGCCUACCAUGGUUUACGGGUGACGGGGAAUCAGGGUUCGAUUCCGGAGAGGGAGCCUGAGAACGGCUCCACAUCCAAGGAAGGCAGCAGGGCGCAAAUUACCCACUCCCGCACGGGAGGUAGUGACGAAAAAUAACGAUAGGACUCAUCCGAGCCCGUAAUGGAAUGAGGACACUUUAAAUCCUUAUCAAACCUAUCAGAGGGUAGUCUGGUGCCACAGCGCGUAAUUCCAGCUCUGAUAGCGUAUAUUAAAGUUGCGCGGUUAAAAAGCUCGUAGUUGGACAUGUGUCCCGCGCUGCCGGUUCCCCUCGUCGGUGUUUAACUGGCCGCAUGCGGGACGUCCGCUGGUGGCGGCGAGUCGACGUAAGGCGCGCGCUUCAGAGCGCCGGGCGGACGGAGUGUUUCAUUCCUCGACGCGCUUUUCUUCUCUCGAGUCAAAUCGUGGAGUUGUAAAACGUGGCGCCGAGGGUGUUCCUCUCGCCUCGUUCCGGUGGCGGUUGCGCGUUAGCCUUACGAAGGCGGACCCCGAUGUCACCCGCCGCGGUGCUCUUGACUGAGUGUCGCGCGGGCCGGCACGUUUACUUUGAACAAAUUAGAGUGCUCAAAGCAGGCCCUUGAAUGCCUGAAUACUGUGUGCAUGGAAUAAUGAAAUAGGACCUCGGUUCUAUUUUGUUGGUUUCCGGAGCUCGAGGUAAUGAUUAAUGGGGAUUGCCGGGGGCAUCCGUAUUGCGACGUUAGAGGUGAAAUUCUUGGAUCGUCGCAAGACGAACCGCAGCGAAAGCGUUUGCCAAGUAUGUUUUCUUUAAUCAAGAACGAAAGUUAGAGGCUCGAAGGCGAUCAGAUACCGCCCUAGUUCUAACCAUAAACUAUGCCAUCUAGCGAUCCGCGGUGUGUCUUAGAUGUCACGGCGGGCAGCCCCCGGGAAACCAAAGAUUUUGGGUUCCGGGGGAAGUAUGGUUGCAAAGCUGAAACUUAAAGGAAUUGACGGAAGGGCACCACCAGACGUGGGGCUUGCGGCUUAAUUUGACUCAACGCGGGGUAUUCUACUAGGCCCGGACACUCGAAGGAUUGACAGAUUGAGAGCUCUUUCUUGAUUGGGUGCGUGGUGGUGCAUGGCCGUUCUUCGUUGGUGUUGUGAAAUGUCUGCUUAAUUGCGAUAACGAACGAGACUCCAGCCUGCUAACUAGUCGAUACCGGCAUCCGUUGUGCAGCCGGCGACAAUAUGUCUUCUUAGAGGGACAAGUGGUGUAUAGCCACACGAGAUUGAGCAAUAACAGGUCUGUGAUGCCCUUAGAUGUUCUGGGCCGCACGCGUGCCACACUGAAGGGAUCAGCGUGUGUUUUCCUAGUCCGAGAGGACCGGGUAACCCGUUGAACCUCCUUCGUGCUAGGGAUUGGGGCUUGCAAUUAUUCCCCACGAACGAGGAAUGUCUAGUAAGCGCGAGUCAUAACCUCGCGUUGAUUAUGUCCCUGCCCUUUGUCCACACCGCCCGUCGCUACUACCGAUUGAAUGGUUUAGUGAGGUCUUCGGACCAGUGCGCGAUCUUCGGUAUUAUAUCGAAGAUCGAUGUCACCGGAAAGAUGACCGAAC